UACGAAGGGGGCUAGCGUUGUUCGGAAUCACUGGGCGUAAAGCGCUCGUAGGCGGAUCUUUAAGUCAGAGGUGAAAUCCCAAGGCUCAACCUUGGAACUGCCUUUGAUACUGGGGAUCUCGAGUCCGGGAGAGGUGAGUGGAACUGCGAGUGUAGAGGUGAAAUUCGUAGAUAUUGGGAAGAACACCGGUGGCGAAGGCGGCUCACUGGCUCAUUACUGACGCUCAGGCGCGAUAGCGUGGGGAGCAAACAGG
rnacentral:rRNA from 1 species